GAUGAACGCUGGCGGCGUGCCUAAUACAUGCAAGUCGAGCGAACGGACGAGGAGCUUGCUCCUCUGACGUUAGCGGCGGACGGGUGAGUAACACGUGGAUAACCUACCUAUAAGACUGGGAUAACUUCGGGAAACCGGAGCUAAUACCGGAUAAUAUAUUGAACCGCAUGGUUCAAUAGUGAAAGACGGUUUUGCUGUCACUUAUAGAUGGAUCCGCGCCGCAUUAGCUAGUUGGUAAGGUAACGGCUUACCAAGGCGACGAUGCGUAGCCGACCUGAGAGGGUGAUCGGCCACACUGGAACUGAGACACGGUCCAGACUCCUACGGGAGGCAGCAGUAGGGAAUCUUCCGCAAUGGGCGAAAGCCUGACGGAGCAACGCCGCGUGAGUGAUGAAGGUCUUCGGAUCGUAAAACUCUGUUAUUAGGGAAGAUCAAAUGUGUAAGUAACUAUGCACGUCUUGACGGUACCUAAUCAGAAAGCCACGGCUAACUACGUG
rnacentral:rRNA from 1 species